CCUGUUGCACAAAAGUAGAAUUAAGACAUCCGGGAUAAAUGACUCAGCUGAGCUCAAUGAAGCCAAAACAUGUGCGUCCAGGCUUAAUUGGUUGCACAAAGACCAAGCCAGGAUGAGCAGACACGGAUUCAUUAAGCCAGGUGAAACCAAUCCUGGAUAGGUGCGCGCUCACGGCUCACUCAAAUAGACCCCGCCACAGAUCACAGAUUAACUGAUGUACCAUGGCAACUAGAGCCGCGUACUUUUCCCCGUCGGAAGCACAAAUCCUCAUGGAGGCAUACGAGGAGGUAAAAGAUAUAAUUAAGAAGAAAGGCAACACCGCCACAGUGAUAAAGCAAAGAGAAAAAGCGUGGCAAAGUAUUGCAGACCGCCUGAAUGCGUAAGUAGUGCACAAUUACACACUCACCGCUCCGCUGAAACAUCACAAUUACAAUUCAAAUAUUUAAUUCACAUCUCCAAAAAUGCAGUUGUACUGUAAUUAUGAAACGGUUAAAUGUUUAAUUGAAAUGCACUGCAGAUAUGAGUGAAAUUGUGUAAAGUAACUCCAUCACACUGUAUAAAACUAUGAUACAUUUUUUGAUAUUUUUACUGAAAACAAGACAAAAAUACCAAGUAAUUUUUUGCAGUGUGACUCCAUUAAAUGUGUGUGUGUGUGUGUGUGUGUGUGUGUGUAGAUUAAACAUGAACGGGCCAAAACGGACAUGGCAGCAGGUCAAAAUCAAAUACAAGAACAUUCUGCAGAAUGCAGUGAAAAAGAAUACCCACAGACAAGGCACGGGUGGUGGGUCACCAAAGGCUGACCUUACCCCAGCAGAGGACAUGGCCUUGGAGCUAAAUAAAGGCAGGCCCGUCUUAGAGGGGAUCCCUGGGGGGGAAAGAGACGAGCAUAGGUUCCUCCCAAGAUGCCACCCGCUUCAUUCAAGUGCCUGGCAGCACUGUGUUCCUGUUAGAGCCACCAGCACAAGCACCAGACGAUGCUGAUCCAGGUGAAGGCCCCAGUGCAGCAGCAACAGCACAUGAUGGAGACGAUGAUGAGGAGGAGACCAUCUCUCUGGAUUCCAGAAGGCAUGAGGACCCAGAUGCUAUACAGUGGGAAAACCAGCCUGGCAACAUAGUGCGUAUUAAUAAAAGGACACCACAUCCUGCCAAAUUCCAGCUGCGCUAAUUGUAUUGUGUUCACAGAGCUCACAAGCUAUCAGAAAGUUGUAUGGCAACCACCUCCGGCGCCAAAUAGAACUGGCAGACAUAGACAUUCAGUACAAGAAGAAAAAGAUGGAAAAUCUUGCACUGGAGUCCGAAAUAAAAAAAGAGGACAAUUAGGAAACUGGACCUUGAAAUAAAAAAACUUGAGAGGGAGCUCCAAGAAGAUGACACAGCUCAAAAUAAAAAUGAGCAAUCAGUACAACCAAGUCAUCGUUAUAAGGCAUCGCCCUCUUUUGCCCACCCCCCCAGCACCAGGUGUGGCCACUAGCCUAUAUGAAGGCCCAAAAUUGUGUGUUCCUUUCUGCUCUGACAAUGGCAUGCCCAUUCGUGCGAGAUGUGGUGGAUGAAGAAGCACUUGUGCUGAGGAGAGCCUUCAGGCGAGAAAGGGUCUUCAGGGACCGGUUGGACCCACUGGCCUUCCCUGAUGACCAUCUAUAUGAAAGAUACAGGUUUUCUGCAGAUGGCAUCAGGUAUCUAUGCAGACUACUGGGUCCCAGGAUUAAGCACCGCACUGCACGGAGCCAUGCACUGAGUGUGGAGCAAAUGGUUUGUGUGGCCUUGCGCUUUUUUGCUAGUGGAGCCUUCCUGUACUCAGUGGGGGAUGCAUUUACAUUUACAUUUACAUUUAAGUCAUUUAGCAGACGCUCUUAUCCAGAGCGACUUACAAAUUGGUGCUUUCACCUUAUGACAUCCAGUGGAACAGACACUUUACAAUAGUGCAUCUAGGU